AGUGAACGCUGGCGGUAGGCCUAACACAUGCAAGUCGAACGGCAGCACAGUAAGAGCUUGCUCUUACGGGUGGCGAGUGGCGGACGGGUGAGGAAUACAUCGGAAUCUACUUUUUCGUGGGGGAUAACGUAGGGAAACUUACGCUAAUACCGCAUACGACCUACGGGUGAAAGCAGGGGACCUUCGAACCUUCCGGAAUGGAAUAGGCCGAUGUCGGAUUAGCUAGUUGGCGGGGUAAAGGCCCACCAAGGCGACGAUCCGUAGCUGGUCUGAGAGGAUGAUCAGCCACACUGGAACUGAGACACGGUCCAGACUCCUACGGGAGGCAGCAGUGGGGAAUAUUGGACAAUGGGCGCAAGCCUGAUCCAGCCAUACCGCGUGGGUGAAGAAGGCCUUCGGGCUGUAAAGCCCUUUUGUUGGGAAAGAAAAGCAGCAGGUUAAUACCCCGCUGUUCUGACGGUACCCAAAGAAUAAGCACCGGCUAACUUCGUG
rnacentral:rRNA from 1 species